rnacentral:rRNA from 1 species
AUCUGUGGCCAUACCGUCCUGAACACACCCAGUCUUGUCUGAUCUCAGAAGGUACGCAGGGCAGGGCCUGUUUGGUGCUUGGAUGGGAGAAACAGAGGCACCCACCGGUG